AGCUGCUGCGGUUAAAAGCUCGUAGUUGGAUCUCAGUUCCAGGCGGGUGGUGCAUCUAACCGAUGCCACAGCCCGGGCUGAACAUCAUACCUGCCGUCCCCUGGUGUCCUUCACUGGAUGCCUCUGGGUGGUAGGUGCAUUUACUUUGAAAAAAUUAGAGUGCUCAACGCAGGCGCAUUGCCUGAAUACUCAUGCAUGGAAUAAUGGAACAAGACCCCGUUUCUGUUCUGUUGGUUUUUGGAAAACGGGGUAAUGAUCAAGAGGGACAGACGGGGGCAUUCGUAUUGCGGCGCUAGAGGUGAAAUUCUUGGACCGUCGCAAGACGAACUACUGCGAAAGCAUUUGCCAAGAAUGUUUUCAUUGAUCAAGAACGAAAGUUAGAGGUUCGAAGGCGAUCAGAUACCGCCCUAGUUCUAACCAUAAACGAUGCCAACCAGCAAUCCGCGUGAGUUACUCAAAUGACUCUGCGGGCAGCUUCCGGGAAACCAAAGUAUUUGGGUUCCGGGGGAAGUAUGGUUGCAAAGCUGAAACUU
rnacentral:rRNA from 1 species